GAUGAACGCUGGCGGCGUGCCCAAUACAUGCAAGUCGAGCGAACGUCAUAGAAGCUUGCUUCUAUGACGUUAGCGGCGGACGGGUGAGUAACACGUGGGCAACCUGCCUGUAAGACUGGGAUAACUUCGGGAAACCGAAGCUAAUACCGGAUAGGAUCUUCUCCUUCGUGGGAGAUGAUUGAAAGAUGGUUUCGGCUAUCACUUACAGAUGGGCCCGCGGUGCAUUAGCUAGUUGGUGAGGUAACGGCUCACCAAGGCAACGAUGCAUAGCCGACCUGAGAGGGUGAUCGGACACACUGGGACUGGGACACGGCCCAGACUCCGACGGGAGGCAGCAGUAGGGAAUCUUCCGCAAUGGACGAAAGUCUGACGGAGCAACGCCGCGUGAGUGAUGAAGGCUUUCGGGUCGUAAAACUCUGUUGUUAGGGAAGAACAAGUACGAGAGUAACUGCUCGUACCUUGACGGCACCUAACCAGAAAGCCACGGCUAACUACGUGCCAGCCGCCGCCGUAA
rnacentral:rRNA from 1 species